rnacentral:tRNA from 1 species
GGGCCUGUGGUCCAGUGGUUAAGACGUUGCCCUUACAAGGCGAAGGCCGAGGGUUCAAAUCCCUCCGGGCCCA